rnacentral:sRNA from 1 species
GUGUAUGUCAGGAAGACUGAAGUCCUUUAUUUAUCAACUUAACAUGUACAGCAUGGGCAGCUGCAGCACAGGAUUACUCACGCUCUCCUACCUACAUGCUGCUACCCUGACUUAAUAGAGGGACAAUCUUUAUGAAUAAAAGGGUAGUUCAGGCUGCAUAUCAGUUUAAUGCUUGGAUUCU